UAUUAUUUUGAAAAACAAUCCGAAUAACCCUAGUUACUAAAACAAACAAGAAACAAAAUAUAUGAUCAAUGAGUAUGAGAAGGUAGUACCUUCCUCUUGGAACUCUACAAACUCGUUCAUAAUCAUUAAUAUUCAUAUUCACGGGAUGGUGACAAUGUUCUUGUGCAUUGUUAGCACAUGCAUAUAGCCGACACUGUUGAUUAACUGUUGAAAUGGCGUUAGAGGAUAUUUGUCAUAUGGUAUCUCGUCCCUUUGUUCACUGUUGGCAACCUAAACUCAAAUAAUAAAAAAGGGUUGUUCUUCAGACAAGAAUUACGAUCUCUUAGUUACUUGACGGAAAUUUUCUCCCGGCUUUUCUUGCAUAGAAACUUCGUAAGUCAUAGAAUAUGCAAUACAAACUUAUAUAAUUUGUCAACAUAUACAUCAAGACUUACAUCAAAAAGAUCACAACUCACAUCUUUAAGUAAAAACUUGUCUGCUAACUUCACAGUGUGACUUUCAUUAUAGCCUACUGUGGUUCCCUGCAUAAUAUACAGUUUUACCUGAAACUCCUUAACAAUAUCUGUGUUGAAAAAAAUGGCUCCAAAAAGAACCAAAACUGGUAACAAGUUCCCCACAUUUUUUAUUCGAAUAUUUUUAUAUGUUUAACAAAGCCAUGAGUUUUUGGUUUGUUCGGCGCAUGUGGUUAUGCAUGCUUUGGUUUGUUCUAUAGUUCAUGGGUUCAAAUCCACCCUUCAACAUUAUUAUUAUUCUU
rnacentral:sRNA from 1 species